AUGAAAAUGGUGAUUGAAGCUGACGAAGGUGGUGUUGAUGCUGAAACAUUUUGCAGAAUAUUGCUGAUGCAGAAAAGUUAUUUGCAGACAGGGCUUGAAUUCAAUGGUGCAGUGCAAGUAGCAGCUAUGUUUCUGUUUGAGAAGGGCAUUUGUUCAUUAGUAUGGUCUGGACGCUUGAAUUGGUUUUGGUAUUGGGUUGCGAGUCAAGGAAAUGGCAAGACCAUAUGCAGAUCUGCUUUUGUUGUUUUUGUGAAUGCAAGUUCGUGA